CCUUACCUACCCUUGACAUGUCAAGAAUUCUGCAGAGAUGUGGAAGUGCUCGAAAGAGAACUUGAACACAGGUGCUGCAUGGCCGUCGUCAGCUCGUGUCGUGAGAUGUUGGGUUAAGUCCCGCAACGAGCGCAACCCUUGUCAUUAGUUGCUACGCAAGAGCACUCUAAUGAGACUGCCGGUGACAAACCGGAGGAAGGUGGGGAUGACGUCAGGUCCUCAUGGCCCUUAUGGGUAGGGCUACACACGUCAUACAAUGGCCGGUACAGAGGGCUGCCAACCCGCGAGGGGGAGCCAAUCCCAGAAAACCGGUCGUAGUCCGGAUCGUAGUCUGCAACUCGACUGCGUGAAGUCGGAAUCGCUAGUAAUCGCGGAUCAGCUUGCCGCGGUGAAUACGUUCCCGGGUCUUGUACACACCGCCCGUCACACCAUGGGAGC
rnacentral:rRNA from 1 species